CGGGUAGCAGAGGACAAGCAAGGGGGCUACCUUUUUCCAAGAGAGAAAUCAAAAUUUGUGGAUGGAGUGGAGAUCCCGGUACACAUAAUUGGUGAUGCCGCCUACCCGUUACGACGAUGGCUCAUGAAGGGGUUCACCCAACAUGUCCAGCUGAGCUCCAAUCAAAUUACUUAUACGCACA